ACAUGUUUGAUCCGAGACGGAAGGUUCCAGAGUAAGUGACAACUAAGCAGAGAUCUUAAAGAUGUGGGAACACCUACAUGUCUAUGUUCAGAAGCUGCCUUGAUGCCACAUGCGGGAGGCUGGAAACGCUGAAGGAUGACCACUGCUCAGCAGCAGUCUACCAGUGAUGGAUGAGAGUUGGUGCACAAAUACCCCAGCUCCCUUGCCUCUCAGUUUGGAUAAUCCUGAAAAGGUGUGUACUAUGCUAUUUCUGAGAUUAAGCCCUAGUUACCCAUAGUGGUAGCUAAAUAUAGUAGUUGGCUGUAUUCUCCAUCACUUCUUGAAUCCCCUGCCAGUGUUCUCUGCACCUCCUUAAUAAACCACUUGAAACAAAAAUCAAGUCUUU
rnacentral:lncRNA from 1 species